rnacentral:rRNA from 1 species
AUUGAACGCUGGCGGCAGGCUUAACACAUGCAAGUCGAGCGGGGUGAUGGUGCUUGCACUAUCACUCAGCGGCGGACGGGUGCGUAAUGCUUAGGAACCUGCCUACUAGUGGGGGACAACAUCUCGAAAGGGAUGCUAAUACCGCAUACGUCCUACGGGAGAAAGCAGGGGAUCCCUUGUGACCUUGCGCUAAUAGAUGAGCCUAAGUGGGAUUAGCUAGUUGGUGGGGUAAAGGCCUACCAAGGCGACGAUCUGUAGCGGGUCUGAGAGGAGGAUCCGCCACACUGGGACUGAGACGCGGCCCAGACUCCUACGGGAGGAAGCAGUGGGGAAUAUUGGACAAUGGGGGGAACCCUGAUCCAGCCAUGCCGCGUGUGUGAAGAAGGACUUAUGGUUGUAAAGCACUUUAAGCGAGGAGGAGGCUCUUUUGGUUAAUACCCAGAAUGAGUGGACGUUACUCGCAGAAUAAGCACCGGCUAACUCUGUGCCAGCCGCCGCAGUAA